rnacentral:sRNA from 1 species
CGGAUGCUAACGCAAUGUGA